ensembl:lncRNA
GACAAUUGUUCCUUUUUUUAUUCAAAAGUGACUUGGCUAUUCAUAUCACUAAAGUGAUAAGCAUUGGUUCAUAAUUGGUUCCACUUUUUUUUACUAAGCAUAAGUCUAUGGCAAAUCACAUGACAUGUUUCUAAUAAAACCAAUGAAGAAUCAUUUUACAGAGUACAGUAUGUCUACAUACUCUCCUCUUAAUCUAAACACAACAAUUAUUCAUAUUAUUUUUGCUCUCUUCCUCACUCUUAAUUUUCUUCCUCCUCUAUGUCUCUCUCUGACACUAAGGCUAUAUCUCAAUUAUUUUUUCCUAGAUUCCUCUCCUACCUCCUCUCCUCCUUUCAACCCUAUUAGAGAAGGUCCAAGGUCAGUCCCCCUGGAUUCUGUUCUCCAAUGUGUUUUGAGACAGAGUCUCAAUUUCACCUCUAUGUUGAGUUCAUCUCUCACUUUAACCAGAAGGUGGAAUCAUCACUUCUUCAGGCUAGGGUCUUUUUUUCUGAAUUUCCGCCUGACUGACGUGCCCAAAGUAAACUGCCUGUUACUCCGGCCCAGAAGCCAGGAUAAGCAUAUAAGUGGUACCAUUGGAUGGAGAACCCUUUGAAGUUUGGAGAAAUGUUAAAAUAAUGUAUGAGACUAUAACACAAUAGAUAUGGUAGGAGAAAAUCCAAAGAAAAUCCAAACAGAAUGUAUUUUUUUUUUGAGAGCCCAUGCUCUUACAAUGGAAGGUAAUAGGGUCGUAUACAAAUCCAGCUCAUAGAUUGCAAUUCCUAUGGCUUCCACUAGAUAUCAACAGUCGUUGUUCAAGGUUUCAGUUUUGUUUUUUCCCAAACAAGGAAGACUUUUGAGUUUUAGUACUGGGAGUCAGAGUUGGAAAUCAGACUGGUGCGUGACGAAGAAGACGCGCACCUGCUAAUUUAGCUUUUCUAUUGAACAUACUACUUUCCGUAUGAAAUGUUAUAGUUGAAUUACAUUUUAGGGUAUCUGAGGAUUCAAUAGAAACGUAUUUGGACUUGUUUUAACAAAGUUUAGCCGUAGCUUUUAGGAUUCCUUUCUCUGCAUGUUGAACGAGUGGAUUACUCAAAUCGAUGGUUCCAACUAAACUGACUUUUUGGGAUAUAAAGAAGGAUUUUAUCUUGCAUAACGACCAUACAUGUUGUAGUUGGGACCCUUUGGAUUGCAAAUCAGAGGAAGAUUUUUAAAAAGUAAGUUAAUAUUUAACCGAUAUUUGUGAUUUUACAAAGUCUGUGCUGGUUGAAAAAUAUUUUGAUGUGGGGCGCCGUUUGACAUGUCUUUAUUCUUUUGGAACCUCUGUGAGUGUAAUGUUUACUGUUCAUUUUUAUUGUUUAUUUCACUUCUGUAUAUUAUCUACUUCACUUGCAUUGGCAAUGUUAACAUAUGUUUCCCAUGACAAUAAAGGCCUUGAAUUGAGAGAGAGAGAGAGAGAGAGAGAGAGACAGAGAGAGAGAAUGUUUGUUACUGUGGAUUAUCGUUAUACCACUUUCUCACAUAUCCAGUCAUGAUAUUUGUGACAAUUUUCAUCAUUCCAUGUCUUUACAGGGUCAUCUUGUCCAUAGUAUAUCUCAACACAGUCCUCUUUCCCAUUAUCAUCAGGCUGUCCUGCGCUCCAGUACC